UCUCCUUAUUCAUCUCUCUGAUUACAAUUUCUUUCUUUCUUUCUUUCGUUCUUUCUUUGCCCUUUUUUAUUGAUUAUUUGUGGGUUAUGGGUUUGAUGGGUUCUCAAAUUAUGUAAAGUAUAAUUUUCUUGAUUUUCUUUUAACCCAGUCUUUGAUUUUCUUGAAUCUAAAGUUCUUGAGUUCCUUUUCUUCUUGAUUUCUGUUUGUUUACCAUGAAAAUUAAAACCCACCAAUUUAACCGUGUAUUGUUUAUCGAAUUACUUUUUGUGUUAAAGAAAUUGAAAUGAUUCAAUUUAACUGAUGAAAAUAUGUUAAAACAGGGGACGCCAUUUGAGGGGAAAACAAGCCGUUCGAGAAGGAGGAGGCCCUAAACUGUAGCAGCAGAGAACAAGGUUUUACGAGCGGAAUGAAGUCGAGGAAGAUGAAGUGCACAAAUUAGGAAUAAAAAGGAGUCAUAUAAAGGACUCAGUUAGGGGACGUUGGACAGCAGUUAGCAGUGACAAUUAUUUGCUUGCUGUUGGUGGAGAGGAUUCUUAUCUCAGCUGAGGUUUCAUGCCCUGUCACUUGCCGUUCUCCUAUAUAGUUUAUUUUCUGUUGAAUCACUUUUAUGUUAUGUAAAACAGAAAUAUAUCAGCAGAAGAAGAAUGCCCAAAACGCAGCAGCCGAGAACGACAAGGGAUUGGAGAAUUUUAAAAAGACUAAAGAGCCCUUAUAACGGAGAAGCAUACAACGAACUUCAUGGACAGAACGAAAUCCGGGACGAAAGUUUAUGACAUGCGAGAUGGGAGAUUGCAGCUAUUUUAGAUGGAACGAUGACGACAUGUGCGAAAGAGCUAAUCGAAUUAUACCUGGGUUAUUAAGAAAGAUUGGAAGUUUAGAAGCUGAACUUGCAAGAAGCUGGAAAAGAGAGAAAUUCUUAUGGGCGUGGGCAAUAUUUUCAAUUGUAAUUCUCAUCUUUAAGUGAAUUGAUUGUUGUAAUUUGAUGUAAAAUCUGUAUUGUUUGGUAGUUUUUGAGAUUUGUAAAAUGGAAAGCACUUUGUAGAUUUUUGGGUUAAUGAAAUGAAUGUCUUUACUGCUUUUAAUGAA